rnacentral:rRNA from 1 species
UAGCGGCGAGUGAAGCGGCAAAAGCUCAAAUUUGAAAUCUGGCUCUUUCAGAGUCCGAGUUGUAAUUUGAAGAAGGUAUCUUUGGGUCUGGCYCUUGUCUAUGUUUCUUGGAACAGAACGUCACAGAGGGUGAGAAUCCCGUGCGAUGAGAUGAUCCAGGCCUAUGUAAAGUUCCUUCGAAGAGUCGAGUUGUUUGGGAAUGCAGCUCUAAGUGGGUGGUAAAUUCCAUCUAAAGCUAAAUAUUGGCGAGAGACCGAUAGCGAACAAGUACAGUGAUGGAAAGAUGAAAAGAACUUUGAAAAGAGAGUGAAAAAGUACGUGAAAUUGUUGAAAGGGAAGGGCUUGAGAUCAGACUUGGUAUUUUGUAUGUUACUUCUUCGGGGGUGGCCUCUACAGUUUAUCGGGCCAGCAUCAGUUUGGGCGGUAGGAGAAUUGCGUUGGAAUGUGGCACGGCUUCGGUUGUGUGUUAUAGCCUUCGUCGAUACUGCCAGCCUAGACUGAGGACUGCGGUUUAUACCUAGGAUGUUGGCAUAAUGAUCUUAAGUCGCCCGUCUUGAA